AAAAGUUCAAAGUAUGUGAUGCACCUAUUUGCUUGAUCAAUUAUUGGGCUCAAUUAAAUUAGGCCUUCGCAGAUUUAAGUAUUUUGCCUUUUCUCAAUUUCCUUCCACUUUUACUUAGUUUGGGACCAAAUAAGUAUACUAAUAAAGGCCCAAAUCUAAUCCAUGGACUUGGUCCAUUAACUUGGCUCAUGUAACUCAAGUAGGUGACUCACUUACUAGCUUAAUUAUAUCAAGCAAGCACCUCAACAAAUUAUUCCAUUUUCAGUCCUUAAUUCCU
rnacentral:lncRNA from 1 species